UCUAAGAGGUGCUGAGUGGGUGCUGC
rnacentral:piRNA from 1 species